rnacentral:sRNA from 1 species
GUCUCUCGGGGCUGGUGGCCUGCGUGGGCGGCCGGGUGGCCGGCAGAGCCGCCAGGGCCCCCGGGCUCAGCAAGAGGCCUAAAUGGCUGCGAAGCAGGCCCCGGGCAGGAGUCGCUCGGGCGCAGGGAGGAAGUGAACCGGCCGGAGGGAGCGCCCGGCUGCUGGCCCCACAGUCCUGACACCUCCGGAACUCCUAAUCCUUUACUUGUCCGGCUGAAAGGUCACCAGCCCCAGUCCCCAGCUGUGCCGCUUGCUGGGCACAGAGCCUCUGGUUACUGCCCCCUGAUACACACAGUGCCCGGGGAUAGAACCCGUGUGCGUGGACCUGGGUGACUGGGAGGCCACCGAGCGGGCGCUGGGCAGCGUGGGCCCCGUGGACCUGCUGGUGAACAACGCCGCUGUCGCCCUGCUGCAGCCCUUCCUGGAGGUCACCAAGGAGGCCUUUGACAGAUCCGUUGAGGUGAACCUGCGUGCGGCCAUCCAGGUGUCACAGGUGAGCUGCCCUGUGGGCUGGACGGGAAUUCUGGUGAGUGAUGCCAGCUCUGCUUCACCGUCUCGCUGCAAUUCCAGAUUGUAGCCAGGGGCUUAAUAGCCCGGGGAGUCCCAGGGGCCAUCGUGAAUGUCUCCAGCCAGGGCUCCAAGCGGGCAGUAACUAACCAUAGCGUCUACUGUGAGUGCCCCAGCUGUGUCCUC